rnacentral:rRNA from 1 species
AUGACUUACAACUUUCAGCGGUGGAUGUCUAGGUUCCCACAACGAUGAAGAACGCAGCGAAAUCGAUACGUAAUGCGAAUUGCAAGACCUCGUGAAUCAUUAAAAUUUUGAACGCACAUUGCGCUUUCGGGAUUUUCCCGGGAGCAUACUUGUCUGAGUGUCUGUGGA